rnacentral:tRNA from 1 species
GGCUUGUGGCUCAGUGGUAGAGUGUUCAUCUAGCAUGUGUGCAGCACUGGGUUCGAUCCUCAGCACCA